rnacentral:rRNA from 1 species
GACGAACGCUGGCGGCGUGCUUAACACAUGCAAGUCGAGCGGUAAGGCACCUUCGGGUGUACACGAGCGGCGAACGGGUGAGUAACACGUGAGUAAUCUGCCCUCCACUUCGGGAUAACCGCCGGAAACGGCGGCUAAUACCGGAUACGACGCACUCUCGCAUGAGAUGUGCGUGGAAAGUCUUCUCGGUGGAGGAUGUGCUCGCGGCCUAUCAGCUUGUUGGUGGGGUAACGGCCCACCAAGGCUUCGACGGGUAGCCGGCCUGAGAGGGUGACCGGCCACACUGGGACUGAGACACGGCCCAGACUCCUACGGGAGGCAGCAGUGGGGAAUAUUGGACAAUGGGCGAAAGCCUGAUCCAGCAACGCCGCGUGAGGGAUGACGGCCUUCGGGUUGUAAACCUCUUUCAGUACCGACGAAGCGCCAAUAACGGUGGUGACGGUAGGUACAGAAGAAGGACCGGCCAACUACGUGCCAGCCGCCGCGGUAAUAC